rnacentral:rRNA from 1 species
GAUGAACGCUGGCGGCGUGCCUAAUACAUGCAAGUCGAGCGAACGGACGCGAAGCUUGCUUCUCUGAUGUUAGCGGCGGACGGGUGUGUAACACGUGUAUAACCUCCCUAUAAUACUGGGAUAACUUCGGGAAACCGUAGCUAAUACCGUAUAAUAUUUUGAACCGCAUGGUUCAAAGGUGAAAGACGGUCUUUCUGUCUCGUAUAGAGGGAUCCCCGCUGCAUUAGCUAGUUGGUAAGGUAACGGCUUACCAAGGCAACGAUGCGUAGACGAACUGAGAGGGUGAUCGGCCACACGGGAGCGGAGACACGGUCCAGACUCCUGCGGGAGGCAGCAGUCGGGAAUGUUCCGCAAUGGGCGAAAGCCUGACGGAGCAACGCGGCGUGAGUGAUGACGGUCUUCGGAUCGUAAAACUCUGUUAUGAGGGAAGAACAUCUGUGUCAGUAAAUGUGCACAUAUUGACGGUACCUAAUAAGAAAGCAACGGCUAACUACGUG